CUAAUCUAAAGGUUUCUGUGACAAUAGACAAUAUAUGUGAUAGAGUAUGUCAUUUAAAUUGUAACACCUCUGUCAUGGGAUGCGUCCAUUUAAAUAAAUAUCAAGGAUGAUAGAGUAGAAUCAUGAAAUGCCAUGACAAAGAAAGAAACAAAAGAUUGAAGCCUAUUGCAUUGAAAGUGUAACAUGUUGUGAAGAAGGAAAAAAAGGGAAGACAGGGGAGAAAAGAAGAGAAAAGGGGAGGGG
rnacentral:misc_RNA from 1 species